rnacentral:rRNA from 1 species
GCUAGCUACAGGCUUAACACAUGCAAGGUCGAGGGGCAGCAUGGUCUUAGCUUGCUAAGGCCGAUGGCGACCGGCGCACGGGUGAGUAACACGUAUCCAACCUGCCGUCUACUCUUGGACAGCCUUCUGAAAAGGAAGAUUAAUACAAGAUGGCAUCAUGAGUCCGCAUGUUCACAUGAUUAAAGGUAUUCCGGUAGACGAUGGGGAUGCGUUCCAUUAGAUAGUAGGCGGGGUAACGGCCCACCUAGUCUUCGAUGGAUAGGGGUUCUGAGAGGAAGGUCCCCCACAUUGGAACUGAGACACGGUCCAAACUCCUACGGGAGGCAGCAGUGGGGAAUAUUGGUCAAUGGGCGAGAGCCUGAACCAGCCAAGUAGCGUGAAGGAUGACUGCCCUAUGGGUUGUAAACUUCUUUUAUAAAGGAAUAAAGUCGGGUAUGCAUACCCGUUUGCAUGUACUUUAUGAAUAAGGAUCGGCUAACUCCGUG